ensembl:lncRNA
GCAGGACCAGAAAGACCACGACCAAGCAGCCUUGAGAUCUUAGGCAGCGUCUCCCUCAGGUCCCUCUCUAUCUCCCCACACAUCCACCAACCACUGGAACACAUCUCCAAAGUUCUGCUGGACCAGCUCAGCUUCCCCUCAGAAGAAGUGCUGCCACCUGCCAGAUGAAGGAGCCUUUUGAGAGGCAGCUGGCAUCGUGAUUGGACUGUACUUUGGUCUGUUCCAAUCCAGCUUCAGCUCCAGAGACGGCAGGCGGGACGAGUCAACGGAGGCCUGGUGGACGAAGGCAUGCAGCUGAGUACAAUCCAGAAAACAACAGAGGAGGAGUGCAGCGGCCCAGAGCCAGAACAACCAGAGUAGCAUCACCAAAGAACUACAGACUCUUCACAACCUGCUCAAACUCUUGGUACAGGACCUCACCACACGGGUCAAGAAGGUUUCUGUCUCAUUUCUACUCUGAAGCUCACCUUCUCC